rnacentral:sRNA from 1 species
GUCGUUUUCACGGCAUAGGCAGUCCUCC